GUAAGGUCUUGCUUCCUAGUGGCUAUGUGAGGGUAAUACAGCUUGUGUGUUCGAUUCUGCUUCCUAGAGGCUAUGUGGGGGCAACGAGAGAGGGAGUUUUGAAGUCCAUGAUGAGACAGAGCGGGACUCGGGGAGUAAGGUCUCGCUGCAGCCUGUAGGACAUGGACAUCCAACGUCCAAGUGCUGUCCCGUGACGACAAGAUGGCGGACGCGUGAUGUGGCAGUGUAAGGGGUGUUCCGUUGCAGUAGCUAAUAAAUGCAGAAUUUAAGCGCAUUACCACCAUGCCCCUGCAAUCCAGAUUUCGGUCACAGCUGGAUGUACGAUCUGACAAACUUCUAAAGCUGUUCGAAAAACGAGGAGGACAGAUAGGCAAGCGUCUUGAGAGAACUUUGGCCCCCAUGACUCAAGACGAUGACGUUGAUGCAGGGCGGGAAUGUGUUCUCAAGUGGCUGUGUGUGUACCUCAACGAAGGCCCAGCAAAUCUUGUCAGGGAGUUUGUGGCAGAGAACGAAGCUGUCAUCAAAAUCGAUUGAGGACACCACGUGGGAAUAUUUGUCGUGAAAAAUGAUGCAACCAGUGGUCCAGAGGACGUGGGGAUUGUCCUGGAAGGCCUGCAGAUAAUGCAAGGACUGGACAACACUGCAUUAGCUGCUGCCAUAUUGUUUGGCCUAAUGUAUGUAUUGAACCUCAACUACCCUCCUGAGCUAAAGUACACGUUUGAAGUGCGCCAAAAACUUGUGAUGGAGCUGGACGGCACCACGCGCUCAAAGAAAGCCCAAGUUCUCAAAAACAGACUGAGUGAGCUGUUGUCCUUGGAUCUUUUUGCUCAUCGACUUGAUUCUGGACUGUUCACAUGCAACUUUGCUGUUCUUUGUUCUUGCAGUAUUUACAUACAGCAUGUCUACUGUAUUAUCAAAUGAAUGUUUUUUUCUGGAGCUCAUGCGUUCCCAAAAUGUGACUCGGAUUUGCUGUUUUCUCUUAAAGUAAUAGAGCUGCUGAAUGAGCUGUUGCCAUGGACCAUGUUUGCUCUGUGAAUGCACUUGUCUCUUGACAUGCACUCAUGCAGCUUUAGUUUUUCCUGUAUUAUUUUUGCAGUAUUUAGAUUCUUGGAAGAUUUACAUUUGUUGUAGGAUUAAUGAUGUUUGUCCAGGUCUACUGAUGGUCUACUCAUUGUUUGUUGUGCGGUGAUUCAUUCAAAACACUGGGAGUACUUUUUUAUUUUAUUAUUUAAUUACACUUUUAUGCAAAGUAAAAAAAAACAUAAUGCAACCUAACAUGUUGUUUUGGGAUUUCAGUGUUAAAAAUGUCUGUUUUCAAAAAGAUUGUUAAUUUGGCACAAUUGUCAGAUUGUAGCAGUUGUGGAUGUUUACUGUUUUCUCCUGAUUGGGUCCUGCUGUACUGCGUACAAAUUGCAUGUCCAAACUAUUGCUAUUUGAAGGUGGAGUCAGCGAUUAAGGGGAAUUAUUGUUGUAAAAAAAAAGUGAAUAUCUCUUUAUGAUCCGCUACCUGUCCG